UACGUAGGGGGCGAGCGUUGUCCGGAUUUAUUGGGCGUAAAGCGCUCGCAGGUGGUCCGAUGCGUCGUGCGUGAAAGACCCCGGCUCAACUGGGGAGGGUCGUGCGAUACGGUCGGACUCGAGGCCAGUAGGGGGACGCGGAAUUCCGGGUGUAGUGGUGGAAUGCGUAGAGAUCCGGAGGAACACCAGCGGCGAAGGCGGCGUCCUGGACUGGUACUGACGCUCAGGAGCGAAAGCGUGGGGAGCGAUCCGG
rnacentral:rRNA from 1 species